GAUGAACGCUGGCGGCGUGCCUAAUACAUGCAAGUCGAGCGAACAGACGAGAAGCUUGCUCCCCUGACGUUAGCGGCGGACGGGUGGGUAACAAGUGGAUAACAUACUUAUUAGACUGGGAUAACUACGGGGAGACGGUGCUAAUACUGCAGAAUAUAUUGAACGGCAUAAUUCAAUAGUUAAACACAGUUUGCGCGAAUGUAUAGGCUGAUGUCGGAUUAGCUAGUUGGUGGGGUAAAGGCCCACCAAGGCGACGCUCCGUAGCCGGCCUGAGAGGAUGAUCAGCCACACUGGAACUGAGACACGGUCCAGACUCCUACGGGAGGCAGCAGUGGGGAAUCUUGGACAAUGGGCGAAAGCCUGAUGGAGCAACACCGCGUGGGUGAAGAAGGUCUUCGGGUCGUAAAGCCCUUUUGUUGGGGAAGAAAAAAAGCAGGAUUAACUAUGCACGUCUUGACGGUACCUAAACAGAAAGCCACGGCUAACUACGUG
rnacentral:rRNA from 1 species